CGCGUCCAUCUCCAUGGACGCUAGACUGGGGCAACGCCUGCGGGGUGCUGCCAUUGCUCUGCUCUGUAAAGCUGUUUCAUGUUGAGGCCACCAAGACAUCUGACCCGCUCAGACUCCCAGGAGCUUCCGGCGCUGGCAGUGUCCCAAAUAUUAAAAACAACAGUGGACAAUAGCGUACCAGGUUCUGAUGACUCCUUAUUUUAUGAGGAAUAUCAGGGUUCUGUUUAUCUCUACAAUCUGCCUGCACCAACAGUUUGAAUGAACAGGACCCUGAGCCAGCCAUAUGAGGAGAGAGAGGAGACCAAGAAAACCAACAGGCCAGGAAGAUGUCUCUAUUCUAAAUGAGUCUUGAAGUGGAAAGUUCUGGUUUCCUUGGAAAGUUAUGACAAACAAUGUUUUGCUGGGGCACAAAGGUGAAAGGAUGUCUCGCUAAAGCAGACACGUGAAAGACUGUUUUCCUGAAGCAGACACAGGUGAAAGGGUGUUUGCAUAGAGCAAACUCGUGAAAGGACCUGUGAUGAAGGAGUAGAAAUAUGACCCCGCUGACAGUGGGAGACGAGUACAGAGCACUGGUUUGAUUCGCUCCACCUCAAUAUUCUUCUAUAACAACACUCAUGUAUUGGUUCGCCUUACAUUGAACUCAACUCUGAUACUGAGAGAAACUCAACAAAGAACUGCUCAUAAGGUUCCUAUGGUAGCUUGCUGCUUCUAAGGCCUCUCUCCUCAGGCCGGGUGACAAGCCUGGCAACUUCUCCAGGAUUGAACUACAGUUGCUGGUUCGUGAUUGGUGUCUGCCUGCCAAGAGGACUGGAAUGUAGUUGUUGGUUCAUGGUUGGUGUCUGCCUGCCUAGACUGGUCUGCAGCUGCUGAGUUGUAUUUGGUGUUUGCUACAGGACUGAUCUGCUGACCAAGAAGAUCAAGCUCACCCCAAAGAACUAUGGUUGAACAGGUCCACUUCCCCCAUCCUAAUAACUUGUCUCUUCCACUACCUCUGCUGGGUGGUGGACUAGAGGAGAGGUUGAACCCUUCUUAAAAGUAGGUUGCAAAAAAUGCUACAAAAUUCAUGUUCCCAGUUAUGCCUAUUUUACCUUGUAAGAUCCUGCAUUUGAAUGUAUGUUACAUUACAUCAUACUAUACUACACAGAGCUAUAUAGGCCAUCACGAGCCUCUUGAGGCUAGACACUUUAGAUGGUUUUUCCUCUUUGUGUUACUUCUCUGAAAUAGUAUUUGAGUGUUUGCUGAGAGACUGAAAUGAAUCCGUUUUGAGUAUAUUGCUUUACUUUCAAAUACCUUCUACUGAUGUAAAGGUUUUUAGUUGUGUAAAAAAUCAAAUUAUUAAUACU